rfam:Dendroctonus ponderosae Seq01018098, whole genome shotgun sequence.
AUCGCUUCUCGGCACUAUGUGCUAAGAUCAAAGUGUAGUAUCUGUUCUUAUCAGCUUAAUAUCUGAUACGCCCCGCAUGCGGGGCCAGUAUAUUAAACUGAUUUUUGGAAUUUGAUUGAGGUUGGGGCUUGCUCCACCUUGGUCGCGGGUUGGCCUGGUAUAGCAGUUCCAUCAGGAUUAGCCCACAUGAU